GCCCGAGUGGCGGAAUGGCAGACGCGGCGGUCUCAAAAACCGUUGUCUUUGACGUGCGAGUUCGACUCUCGCCUCGGGCA
rfam:Coriobacteriaceae bacterium CHKCI002 isolate CHKC2 genome assembly, contig: {contig158}